rnacentral:rRNA from 1 species
UACGGGGGGGGCAAGCGUUGUUCGGAAUUACUGGGCGUAAAGGGCUCGUAGGCGGCCAACUAAGUCAGACGUGAAAUCCCCUCGGCUUAACCGGGGAACUGCGUCUGAUACUGGAUGGCUAGAGUGUGGGGAGAGGGAUGCGGAAUUCCAGGUGUAGCGGUGAAAUGCGUAGAUAUCUGGAGGAACACCGGUGGCGAAGGCAGCUCGCUGGGACGGUACUGACGCUGAGGCGCGAAAGCGUGGGGAGCAAACAGG